UCUUAUUGCGUUAUAUUGAGCCAAAAAUUUAGCUUGGAUUUAGAUGCCCAAAAACCUUUUCCAUGAAUUUUUACUUGUCCAAGACGUCUUCAAGGAUACCGCAAAUAUAAUGCAUUUUCUCCGUUGGAACACCAUCACUCGGAGAAGCCCAAUUUAUAUUACAAGUCUUCGAAUGAGUAGAUCGAGCUAUUUUCCCGUGAUCUGAUCUACCAUAUUUCAUUGUGGUUUAUAGUGAUGGCUAGGUAUGGACCUUAUAAUGCAUACCUUCUACUGUUUCUCAAUUUGGUAUGUGUACUUCUUGUUGUUCCGCCAUUCUCUGCUGCUUCUUUUAUAUGGUAAUAUAGGUUACGGUGCCGAUCUCAAUGCUGAGCGGUUGCGGUUGUUUGCGUAAGUUACAUAUCCGGCACUACGUUUGUUUCUUGCACAUUUUUCUGUGAUCUUCCUUUUGUCCUCUUCCUUUUUGUUGUUACCUGCUUGAGGUGGUAGAAUAGGUCAUGUAUAGAUUCCACCUUAUAAUGAGUAGAUGUUUUCAAAAUAAUUGUGCACACUAUCGGGAACAAGGUGAGGGUGAGGAGCUGUGUGCACGGAUUAUGCUCAAACUGGUCAUUCCUUGGUUGGGAGAGCUCUAAUGGUCACACUUUGAUGAGAUGUUUUCGUUGUUGAUCCCCUUUUCUUUUUCUUGGUUGGGAGAUACACAUCCUUCGCUGAUCUAAUCGCAUUCACAACAUGUGAGCAUGCAUGAUGGCGUGCUUUGCAGUCCCAGCAAAGGACGUAUAAGACAAGGACACUAGAAGGUCUAAUGCUAAAGCCGCUGCCGAUUAUAUGAUUUAUGAUGGAAAUUUAUCAUUUCUCUCCUCGAGAAAAAGUGACAGCAAAAAGGAAAGACAAUUGACUGUACUUAUCAAAUUCAGAAUGCAACAAUGGGUAUGUGGAGACCCCCUAGAUACACAUCCUAAACUGAUAUCAU